rnacentral:rRNA from 1 species
AUUGAACGCUGGCGGAAUGCUUUACACAUGCAAGUCGAACGGUAGAGGGGGCAACCCCUCGAGAGUGGCGAACGGGUGAGUAAUAUAUCGGAACGUGCCCAGUCGUGGGGGAUAACGUAGCGAAAGUUACGCUAAUACCGCAUACGAUCUAAGGAUGAAAGCGGGGGAUCGCAAGACCUCGCGCGAUUGGAGCGGCCGAUAUCAGAUUAGGUAGUUGGUGGGGUAAAGGCUCACCAAGCCAACGAUCUGUAGCUGGUCCGAGAGGACGACCAGCCACACUGGAACUGAGACACGGUCCAGACUCCUACGGGAGGCAGCAGUGGGGAAUUCUGGACAAUGGACGCAAGUCUGAUCCAGCCAUUCCGCGUGCAGGAUGAAGGCCCUCGGGUUGUAAACUGCUUUUGUACGGAACGAAAAGGUCUCUCUUAAUACGGGGGACUCAUGACGGUACCGUAAGAAUAAGCACCGGCUAACUACGUGCCAGCCGCCGCCGUAA